rnacentral:rRNA from 1 species
GAUGAACGCUAGCUACAGGCUUAACACAUGCAAGUCGAGGGGAAACGACAUUGAAGCUUGCUUCGAUGGUCGUCGACCGGCGCACGGGUGAGUAACGCGUAUCCAACCUGCCUCUGACCAAGGGAUAACCCGUCGAAAGUCGGCCUAAUACCUUAUGCAGUCGUCGGAAGUCAUCUGAUGACGACGAAAGAUUUCAUCGGUGAGAGAUGGGGAUGCGUCUGAUUAGCUUGUUGGCGGGGUAACGGCCCACCAAGGCAACGAUCAGUAGGGGUUCUGAGAGGAAGGUCCCCCACAUUGGAACUGAGACACGGUCCAAACUCCUACGGGAGGCAGCAGUGAGGAAUAUUGGUCAAUGGGCGAGAGCCUGAACCAGCCAAGUAGCGUGCAGGAGGACGGCCCUAUGGGUUGUAAACUGCUUUUAUGCGGGGAUAAAGUGAGGGACGUGUCCUUCAUUGCAGGUACCGCAUGAAUAAGGACCGGCUAAUUCCGUG